ensembl:snoRNA U3 Small nucleolar RNA U3
CUGACUGCACUUUCAGGGAUCAUUUCUAUAGUUCAUUACUAGAGAAGUUUCUCUGAAGGUGUAGAGCACCAAAAACAACAACAACAACGACAACAAAUUGAUCUGCCCUCCAGAGU